CAGUGUCCCCAGGUCUCCCAGUGUCCCCUGGUGUCUCAGAAUACCCAUGUCUCUCAGUGUCCCCUAGUGUCCUAGUGACAUGGGGACUCUGGGAGACAUGGGGACACAGAAACUAGGGGACACUGGGAGACAUGGGGACACU